CGAGCAGUAUUUUCAUAAUAGACGCAUGUUGACAACUAUAUAGACUAUGCUUUUCUCGAUCCCCGUUUAGGUGAACAAUAUUGAGCGAGAAGGAUACCGAUAGUUAAGGGCAAUCACGGGUAGAAUUUCAUUGUGUUUUUAUUAAGCCAUGCAAUUGAUUUUGAAUAUUCAUAGCACGAUUGUUUAUAAUGAUCGUGGACCAUAUCGUCCAACCGUCACAUU